UACUGAGUAAUUGCUUUGCUUAUUGCAUGCUAAUUGCUGAAAAUUGCUUUUUAUUUUAAAUUCCUUAGCUAAAAAUUGCUUUUUCUUUCACAUUUCUCUGCUUAUUGAAUGACUAUUGCUAACUCAUUAGAUAGAACCUACUUCUCAUAUAAGUAGGUGGAUGCGGCCUCGAUUAGCGGGGGAACCACAUGAAAAAAAGCGAGCUACUGGGUGUACCUCCUGGGUAGUUUGGAAAUCACCUAAUAUAUAUAUGUAUAUAUUUAUAAAUAAAAGUUAAUAUAUAUAAAUUAACAUUAUUUUUUUUUAACAGGAAAUGCACAAUGCUAAAAACUGCGUAGGAGAUUUUAAUACAAUAGUACUACCAAGCCUGAUGUUGGCCGCUAUUUCAAUGAAUGCAGCAGUGUGACAGCUAGCAAUCAAAAGUAACAAGAUAUCGAGGAAAUGCAGAUGGCAAUAAACUGUGUAGGAGUUCAUGAUUGCAAUAGAAUAAAAUCGACCAAGCCUGAAGUCAGCAGCCCCUUCAAUGAAUGCAGCAGUGUGACAGCCAACAAUCAAAAGUUACAAAAUAUCGAGGAAAUGCAGAAGGCAAAAAACUGCGUAGGAGAUCAUUAAUACAAAAGUAUUAUAUAAACCAAACCUGAUGUUGCCAGCUCCUUCAAUGAAUGCAGCAGUGUGACAGCCAACAAUCAAAAGUAACAAGAUAUCGAGGAAAUGCAGAAGGCAAAAAACUGCGUAGGAGAUCAUUAAUACAAUAGUAUUAUAUAAACCAAGCCUGAUGUUGGCCGCUCAUUCAAAGAAUGCAGCAGUGUGACAGCCAGCAAUCAAAAGUAACAAGAUGUCGAGGAAAUGCAGAGUGUAAUAAACUGUGUAGGAGAUUAUGAUUGCAAUAGAAUAAAAUCGACCAAGCCUGAAGUCCUUCAAUGCACGCAGCAGUGUGACAGCCAGCAAUCAAAAGUUACAAAAUAUCGAAGAAAUACAGAAGGCAAAGAAGCAGAUGUCAUCAAAGAAGAUCUUUGUUCCUGCAAUGUUUCCGCAGACGAUACAUCCAACAGAGCGAAGUGGAAGGAAAAGACUCGGAAUAAAGACCCCACCACCAUAUGGGAACAAUGCAAGGGAGAGAGAGAGAGAAUAUAAUGUUAUAUUUUUAUUUUUUGAUAACAUAAAAUAAACCAACAAUAUCCUA